rnacentral:rRNA from 1 species
GAUGAACGCUGGCGGCGUGCCUAAUACAUGCAAGUCGAGCGAACAGACGAGGAGCUUGCUCCUCUGACGUUAGCGGCGGACGGGUGAGUAACACGUGGAUAACCUACCUAUAAGACUGGGAUAACUUCGGGAAACCGGAGCUAAUACCGGAUAAUAUAUUGAACCGCAUGGUUCAAUAGUGAAAGACGGUUUUGCUGUCACUUAUAGAUGGAUCCGCGCCGCAUUAGCUAGUUGGUAAGGUAACGGCUUACCAAGGCAACGAUGCGUAGCCGACCUGAGAGGGUGAUCGGCCACACUGGAACUGAGACACGGUCCAGACUCCUACGGGAGGCAGCAGUAGGGAAUCUUCCGCAAUGGGCGAAAGCCUGACGGAGCAGCGCCGCGUGAGUGAUGAAGGUCUUCGGAUCGUAAAACUCUGUUAUUAGGGAAGAACAAAUGUGUAAGUAACUAUGCACAUCUUGACGGUACCUAAUCAGAAAGCCACGGCUAACUACGUG